rnacentral:rRNA from 1 species
UUGGGCGUAAGAGCUUGUAGGCGGUUCGUCGCGUCUGGUGUGAAAGCCCAUCGCUUAACGGUGGGUUUGCGCCGGGUACGGGCGGGCUAGAGUGCAGUAGGGGAGACUGGAAUUCUCGGUGUAACGGUGGAAUGUGUAGAUAUCGGGAAGAACACCAAUGGCGAAGGCAGGUCUCUGGGCUGUUACUGACGCUGAGAAGCGAAAGCGUGGGGAGCGAACAGGAUUAGAUACCCUGGUAGUCCACGCCGUAAACGGUGGACGCUGGAUGUGGGGCCCAUUCCACGGGUUCUGUGUCGGAGCUAACGCGUUAAGCGUCCCGCCUGGGGAGUACGGCCGCAAGGCUAAAACUCAAAGAAAUUGACGGGGGCCCGCACAAGCGGCGGGGCAUGCGGAUUAAUUCGAUGCAACGCGAAGAACCUUACCUGGGCUUGACAUGUGCCUGACGACUGCAGAGAUGUGGUUUCCUUUCGGGGCAGGUUCACAGGUGGUGCAUGGUCGUCGUCAGCUUGUGUCGUGAGAUGUUGGGUUAAGUCCCGCAACGAGCGCAACCCUCGCCCUGUGUUGCCAGCGGGUUAUGCCGGGAACUCACGGGGGACCGCCGGGGUUAACUCGGAGGAAGGUGGGGAUGA